rnacentral:rRNA from 1 species
UGGGGAAUAUUGGACAAUAGGCGAAAGCCUGAUCCAGCCAUGCCGCGUGAGUGAUGAAGGCCCUAGGGUUGUAAAGCUCUUUUGUGCGGGAAGAUAAUGACGGUACCGCAAGAAUAAGCCCCGGCUAACUUCGUGCCAGCAGCCGCGGUAAUACGAAGGGGGCUAGCGUUGCUCGGAAUCACUGGGCGUAAAGGGUGCGUAGGCGGAUCUUUAAGUCAGAGGUGAAAGCCUGGAGCUCAACUCCAGAACUGCCUUUGAUACUGAGGAUCUCGAGUUCGGGAGAGGUGAGUGGAACUGCGAGUGUAGAGGUGAAAUUCGUAGAUAUUCGCAAGAACACCAGUGGCGAAGGCGGCUCACUGGCCCGAUACUGACGCUGAGGCACGAAAAGCGUGGGGAGCAAAACAGGAUUAGAUACCCUGGUAGUCCACGCCGUAAAACGAUGAAUGCCAGCCGUUGGAGGGUUUACUCUUCAGUGGCGCAGUU